rnacentral:rRNA from 1 species
UAAGGAAUAUUGGUCAAUGGAGGAAACUCUGAACCAGCCAUGCCGCGUGGAGGAUGAAGGUCCUCUGGAUUGUAAACUUCUUUUAUAUGGGACGAAAAAGGGACUUUCUAGUUCAACUGACGGUACCAUAUGAAUAAGCACCGGCUAACUCCGUGCCAGCAGCCGCGGUAAUACGGAGGGUGCAAGCGUUAUCCGGAUUCACUGGGUUUAAAGGGAGCGUAGGUGGGUUGGUAAGUCAGAGGUGAAAUCUCCGAGCUUAACUCGGAAACUGCCUUUGAUACUAUCAGUCUUGAAUAUUGUGGAGGUUAGCGGAAUAUGUCAUGUAGCGGUGAAAUGCUUAGAUAUGACAUAGAACACCAAUUGCGAAGGCAGCUGGCUACACAUAUAUUGACACUGAGGCUCGAAAGCGUGGGGAUCAAACAGG